rnacentral:rRNA from 1 species
GAUGAACGCUGGCGGCGUGCCUAAUACAUGCAAGUCGAGCGAACGGACGAGACUCUUGCUUCUCUGAUGUUAGCCGCGCGCGGGAGUGUCACAUGUGUAUAACCCCCCUAUCAGUCUGAGAUAAUCUGGGGACUCCGUAUCUUAUACCAUAGAAUCUUCUGCUCCGUGUUGUUCAAUGGUGAAAUACGGUCGUGCUGUCACUUCUCGCUGGAUCCGCGCUUGAUUAGGUAGUUGGUAAGGUAACGGCUUACCAAGGGAACGAUGCAUAUCCGACUUGACAGGGUGAUCGGCCACACGGGAACUGAGACGCGGACAAGACGCCUACGGGAGGCAGCAGUAGGGAAUCGUCCGCAAUGGGCGGAAGCCUGACGGAGCAACGCCGCGCGAGUGAUGAAGGUCUUCGGAUCGUAAAACUCUGUUAUUAGGGAAGAACAUCUGUGUAAGGAACUGUGCACAUCUUGACGGUACCUAAUCAGAAAGCCACGGCUAACUACGUG